UACGAAGGAUGCGAGCGUUAUCCGGAUUUAUUGGGUUUAAAGGGAGCGUAGGCGGUCUUAUAAGUCAGUGGUGAAAUCUCGUUGCUUAACAAUGAACGUGCCAUUGAUACUGUAGGACUUGAGUACAGUUGCCGUUGGCGGAAUGUGUCAUGUAGCGGUGAAAUGCAUAGAUAUGACACAGAACACCGAUUGCGAAGGCAGCUGACGAAACUGUAACUGACGCUGAGGCUCGAAAGCGUGGGGAUCAAACAGG
rnacentral:rRNA from 1 species